GGGUUGUGAGGUUAAGCGACUAAGCGUACACGGUGGAUGCCCUGGCAGUCAGAGGCGAUGAAGGACGUGCUAAUCUGCGAAAAGCGCCGGCGAGGUGAUAUGAACCCUUGACCCGGCGAUGUCCGAAUGGGGAAACCCAGUGCAAUCCGUUGCACUAUCGUUAACUGAAUACAUAGGUUAACGAGGCGAACCGGGGGAACUGAAACAUCUAAGUACCCCGAGGAAAAGAAAUCAACCGAGAUUCCCCCAGUAGCGGCGAGCGAACGGGGAGCAGCCCGGAGUCUGAAUCAGCUUGUGUGUUAGUGGAACGGUCUGGAAAGUCCGACGGUACAGGGUGAUAGUCCCGUACACGAAAGCACACAUGCUGUGAACUCGAAGAGUAGGGCGGGACACGUGGUAUCCUGUCUGAAUAUGGGGGGACCAUCCUCCAAGGCUAAAUACUCCUGACUGACCGAUAGUGAACCAGUACCGUGAGGGAAAGGCGAAAAGAACCCCGGCGAGGGGAGUGAAAAAGAACCUGAAACCGUGUACGUACAAGCAGUGGGAGCCUCUUUAUGGGGUGACUGCGUACCUUUUGUAUAAUGGGUCAGCGACUUAUAUUCUGUAGCAAGGUUAACCGUAUAGGGGAGCCGAAGGGAAACCGAGUCUUAACUGGGCGUUAAGUUGCAGGGUAUAGACCCGAAACCCGGUGAUCUAGCCAUGGGCAGGUUGAAGGUUGGGUAACACUAACUGGAGGACCGAACCGACUAAUGUUGAAAAAUUAGCGGAUGACCUGUGGCUGGGGGUGAAAGGCCAAUCAAACCGGGAGAUAGCUGGUUCUCCCCGAAAGCUAUUUAGGUAGCGCCUCGUGAACUCAUCUUCGGGGGUAGAGCACUGUUUCGGCUAGGGGGCCAUCCCGGCUUACCAACCCGAUGCAAACUACGAAUACCGAAGAAUGUUAUCACGGGAGACACACGGCGGGUGCUAACGUCCGUCGUGAAGAGGGAAACAACCCAGACCGCCAGCUAAGGUCCCAAAGUCAUGGUUAAGUGGGAAACGAUGUGGGAAGGCACAGACAGCCAGGAUGUUGGCUUAGAAGCAGCCAUCAUUUAAAGAAAGCGUAAUAGCUCACUGGUCGAGUCGGCCUGCGCGGAAGAUGUAACGGGGCUAAACCAUGCACCGAAGCUGCGGCAGCGACACUAUGUGUUGUUGGGUAGGGGAGCGUUCUGUAAGCCGUUGAAGGUGUGCUGUGAGGCAUGCUGGAGGUAUCAGAAGUGCGAAUGCUGACAUAAGUAACGAUAAAGCGGGUGAAAAGCCCGCUCGCCGGAAGACCAAGGGUUCCUGUCCAACGUUAAUCGGGGCAGGGUGAGUCGACCCCUAAGGCGAGGCCGAAAGGCGUAGUCGAUGGGAAACAGGUUAAUAUUCCUGUACUUGGUGUUACUGCGAAGGGGGGACGGAGAAGGCUAUGUCAGCCGGGCGACGGUUGUCCCGGUUUAAGCAUGUAGGCGGAGGUUCCAGGUAAAUCCGGUACCUUGUUAACGCUGAGGUGUGAUGACGAGGCACUACGGUGCUGAAGUGAUAAAUGCCCUGCUUCCAGGAAAAGCCUCUAAGCAUCAGGUAACACGAAAUCGUACCCCAAACCGACACAGGUGGUCAGGUAGAGAAUACCAAGGCGCUUGAGAGAACUCGGGUGAAGGAACUAGGCAAAAUGGUGCCGUAACUUCGGGAGAAGGCACGCUGAUGUGUAGGUGAAGCCCCUGCGGGUGGAGCUGAAAUCAGUCGAAGAUACCAGCUGGCUGCAACUGUUUAUUAAAAACACAGCACUGUGCAAACACGAAAGUGGACGUAUACGGUGUGACGCCUGCCCGGUGCCGGAAGGUUAAUUGAUGGGGUUAGCGGCAACGCGAAGCUCUUGAUCGAAGCCCCGGUAAACGGCGGCCGUAACUAUAACGGUCCUAAGGUAGCGAAAUUCCUUGUCGGGUAAGUUCCGACCUGCACGAAUGGCGUAAUGAUGGCCAGGCUGUCUCCACCCGAGACUCAGUGAAAUUGAACUCGCUGUGAAGAUGCAGUGUACCCGCGGCAAGACGGAAAGACCCCGUGAACCUUUACUAUAGCUUGACACUGAACACUGGUCCUUGAUGUGUAGGAUAGGUGGGAGGCUUUGAAGCGUGGACGCCAGUCUGCGUGGAGCCAACCUUGAAAUACCACCCUUUAAUGGCUGGUGUUCUAACGUAGACCCGUAAUCCGGGUUGCGGACAGUGUCUGGUGGGUAGUUUGACUGGGGCGGUCUCCUCCCAAAGAGUAACGGAGGAGCACGAAGGUUGGCUAAUCCUGGUCGGACAUCAGGAGGUUAGUGCAAUGGCAUAAGCCAGCUUGACUGCGAGCGUGACGGCGCGAGCAGGUGCGAAAGCAGGUCAUAGUGAUCCGGUGGUUCUGAAUGGAAGGGCCAUCGCUCAACGGAUAAAAGGUACUCCGGGGAUAACAGGCUGAUACCGCCCAAGAGUUCAUAUCGACGGCGGUGUUUGGCACCUCGAUGUCGGCUCAUCACAUCCUGGGGCUGAAGUAGGUCCCAAGGGUAUGGCUGUUCGCCAUUUAAAGUGGUACGCGAGCUGGGUUUAGAACGUCGUGAGACAGUUCGGUCCCUAUCUGCCGUGGGCGCUGGAGAAUUGAGGGGGGCUGCUCCUAGUACGAGAGGACCGGAGUGGACGCAUCACUGGUGUUCGGGUUGUCAUGCCAAUGGCACUGCCCGGUAGCUAAAUGCGGAAGAGAUAAGUGCUGAAAGCAUCUAAGCACGAAACUUGCCCCGAGAUGAGUUCUCCCUGAGACUUUAAGUCUCCUGAAGGAACGUUGAAGACGACGACGUUGAUAGGUCGGGUGUGUAAGCGCAGCGAUGCGUUGAGCUAACCGAUACUAAUGAACCGUGAGGCUUAACCUUACAACGCCGAAGGUGUUU
rnacentral:rRNA from 2 species